rnacentral:misc_RNA from 1 species
UACUGACAAAAGAACAUGUUUGGAAAAUGGUUAAGGUCCAGAAUCCCCAUUUAAUGCAAACAAUUCUAGAUUGUAUGAGAAAGAACAAUAAUCUGUUCCAUGUUUCUGGAGAAAGUGGCUCUAAUAUUCAGCAUACGAGAUAUCUUGAUUCUGUAUUUCCCAUACGCAUUGUUCCAAAAAGAAAUUUGCUCCAAAGCGUUGCAGAGGUACCAGCCUCCGCCCCUGUCCCUGUUGCUGGAUCACCUUUUUUCAGUCCAGUGCCAUCUGCUGAUCUGGCACCUUCUCCAGUUUCUACGCCAUCUCCAGUUUCUAUGCCAUCUCCAGUUUCUACUCCAUCUCCAC